UACGUAGGGGGCAAGCGUUGUCCGGAAUCAUUGGGCGUAAAGAGCGUGUAGGCGGCCCGGUAAGUCCGUUGUGAAAGUCGAGGGCUCAACCCUCGAAUGCCGGCGGAUACUGCCGGGCUGGAAUCCGGAAGAGGCGAGUGGAAUUCCUGGUGUAGCGGUGAAAUGCGCAGAUAUCAGGAGGAACACCAAUGGCGAAGGCAGCUCGCUGGGACGGUAUUGACGCUGAGACGCGAAAGCGUGGGGAGCAAACAGG
rnacentral:rRNA from 1 species